GACGAACGCUGGCGGCGUGCUUAACACAUGCAAGUCGAACGGUGAAGCGCCUUCCUUUUUGGUGGGUGUGGAUGAGUGGCGAACGGGUGAGUAACACGUGAGUAACCUGCCCCCUUCUUCUGGAUAACCGCAUGAAAGUGUGGCUAAUACGGGAUAUUCUGGGUCUGUCGCAUGAUGGGUCUGGGAAAGAUAUUGUUUCGGUGGGGGAUGGGCUCGCGGCCUAUCAGCUUGUUGGUGGGGUGAUGGACUACCAAGGCGGUGACGGGUAGCCGGCCUGAGAGGGUGGACGGUCACACUGGGACUGAGACACGGACCAGACUCCUACGGGAGGCAGCAGUGGGGAAUAUUGCACAAUGGGCGCAAGGCUGAUGCAGCGACGCCGCGUGAGGGAUGGAGGCCUUCGGGUUGUGAACCUCUUUCGCCAGUGAAGCAGGCCUGCCUCGUUUGUGGGUGGGUUGACGGUAGCUGGAUAAGAAGCGCCGGCUAACUACGUG
rnacentral:rRNA from 1 species